CAAUAGCGUAUAUUAAAGCUGUUGCGGUUAAAAAGCUCGUAGUUGGAUUUCUGUCAAGGACAACUGGUCCGCCCUCCGGGUGAGCACAUAGUUUGGUCUUGACAUCUUGCUGGAAGCUGUUGCUGCACUUGGCUGUGUGGCGCAGUGUUCAGCACUUUCACUUUGAGGAAAUUGGAGUGUUUCAAGCAGGCACAUGCCUUUGGACACAGUAGCAUGGAAUAAUUAGAUUGGGCUUUUGCUCCAAUUUGUCGGUUUCUGGAGCUGAGGUGAGUAUUAAUGGGGAUUGUUGGGGGCAUCCGAAUUUAGCCGUCAGAGGUGAAAUUCUUGGAUCUGCUAAAGACGGACAACUGCGAAAGCGUUUGCCCAGGGUGUUUUCAUUG
rnacentral:rRNA from 1 species